UUCGGGGCGUGCGAGCCGGUCUGCCGAUGGGUAUGCACUGGCUUCCGCGCGUCCUUUCUUUCGGAGCUCUCCGCUGCUCUUAGCUGAGCGGUGGAGGGAGACGGAUCGUUUACUUUGAAAAAAUCAGAGUGUUUCAAGCAGGCAGCUCGCUCUUGCAUGGAUUAGCAUGGGAUAAUGAAAUAGGACUCUGGUGCUAUUUUGUUGGUUUCGAACACCGGAGUAAUGGUCAACAGGGACAGUCAGGGGCACUCGUAUUCCGCCGAGAGAGGUGAAAUUCUCAGACCAGCGGAAGACGAACCACUGCGAAAGCAUUUGCCAGGGAUGUUUUCACUGAUCAAGAACGAAAGUUAGGGGAUCGAAGACGAUCAGAUACCGUCGUAGUCUUAACCAUAAACCAUGCCGACUAGGGAUUGGGGGCUGUUCCUUUUGUGACUCCCUCAGCACCUUUCGGGAAACUAAAGUCUUUGGGUUCCGGGGGGAGUAUGGUCGCAAGGCUGAAACUUAAAGGAAUUGACGGAAGGGCACCACCAGGAGUGGAGCCUGCGGCUUAAUUUGACUCAACACGGGGAAACUUACCAGGUCCAGACAUUGUGAGGAUUGACAGAUUGAGAGCUCUUUCUUGAUUCGAUGGGUGGUGGUGCAUGGCCGUUCUUAGUUGGUGGAGUGAUUUGUCUGG
rnacentral:rRNA from 1 species